AGAGUACGUGAGCAUCUCUCAUUCACAUAUGGAAGGCUGUUAGGGCAUAAAUGCAGUCAGCACCAGGGAGCCAGCAGACACUGGAAUUGCUAGGGAGUAAAAAUAGUUUCUGUUAUUAAGGUCUGUGGAGCUCCUUGGGCUGGGCUCCCAUUCCCAUAAGACAUGCCCAUAGAGAUAGGCACACCUGCCUUCAAAAGUGCCAGCGACACAGAGCUCCAAGAAGUGAAGGGAAUUGAGACAAUUAGAUAAACAGCACGAGAAAGAACAAAAUUUCAAGGGAGGUUUGUUGCCCGAGGUGACUGUUCCAAUUUCCUGGCACUGCAGGAAGACAGCAAUGUCCCAGAUGAUACUUUUCAAGAGAGGAAAUAAAAGUAAAGGUGCUAGCGGAGCUGAGACUGUGAACGUCAAUCAGCAGGACGCAUAGCUGAGCCCCCAGGAUCCCUGACACCAGCAUAAUUUACAGGCAAGAUUCUGCAGCUGUCAGAAUAUCUGGUGCUUGAAGCGGCGUUCCAUGACUUUUCGCUGAUUGGCAAGUCUCCUCAAGAUGCCUUGGGAUUUUGUUACCAUCUGGCAUUGUUCCAUAUCCCUUGUCUUCUGAGUGUUUUAUGAUGAUUAACUGGUUAAACUUCAGAAAAGCUGCGUAGGGUAGACAGGGGCAAGAGGCAAUCGCUUCCUUUCAAGCUCGAGAUGAGGAACUGCUCAUGCAUUGGGAUGGUAGAUGACUCAUACAAGAGCAUAAUGUCACAGAUUCUCGUACGAGAUCAUAGGUUUAUUUAUUAGUUGAUAUUAUUGAACAAUUUUGUGUGCUGGGAACCAAGCUAAAUACUGCGCUUAGAGGAAUAAGACGAAAGACUGCCCUUGUGGAGGUCCCAGACUUAUAGAGGAGAAACAUAUACGCGCAAAAUGUUGGAGGAGAGAAGCAUAUAAAAAGCACAGUAAAAAUACCUGGCAGCUUGCAAGACAGGAUUCAAGGAGGCAACAUCUGUCUUUAGUUUUCAAACAUGAGUGUGAAUUUUCCCUAAUGCAUGUUUGUGUAAGAUAGGAAAGGGAGGAGGAGAAGCAAUUUCUGGGGUCUAGAAUGUUUAGGAAACACUGUGCAAAAAAGCACAGAGACAUAACGUAGCACUUGUUCACGUCUGUACAUUCCUUGGACCAAAAAGUGGGCUUUGUAGCUGGGGCUAACAAUUAUGAUUUGAAUUUUCGGAACCAUGAGAGCUAGACUGGAGUCAUCUUAAAGCAUUUAAGGAAUGAGAUAGGUCAAUAAAUAAAUAUGGCAAUUUACUAAAAAUGGUUAUGUCACCUCUAAAAGACAUAAGGAACUUUUAACUGAAAAACUUAUCCUGAACAAAGAGAAAAAUGAAUUGAGAAAACUCACUGCUAAGAGGCAAAGAACCAGAGCGUCUAGAGUUGGACCAUAUUAGGCUUCUGCUGUUUAGGCAAAACUGUGUGGGGAAAGUCCUUUGAACAGCUAAAGAUUAAAAGUGAAAUUGGAGAUGACCGAGUACUCCUCAAUCCUUGGCUCCUUUCUGCAAGCACGCUCAACUUGCUCUGGCCUAGAGACAAUCAAACCUACAACUCAAAUCUAGUCCUUAUUUGUAGCAGAUUAACUUUGUACUUUCACCGCUCAAUUCCUAAUCUCAGUAUUCUAUGCCUUCUUCCUCUACUCAUUUUUGCCUUAACCCAUUAUUAAUCGAACCAGUUUCCCAUCUCCAUAUUUCUGCUCCCUGUCCCCA
ensembl:lncRNA